UACGUAGGGUGCAAGCGUUAAUCGGAAUUACUGGGCGUAAAGCGUGCGCAGGCGGCUUUGCAAGACAGAUGUGAAAUCCCCGGGCUUAACCUGGGAACUGCAUUUGUGACUGCAUGGCUGGAGUGCGGCAGAGGGGGGGAUGGAAUUCCGCGUGUAGCAGUGAAAUGCGUAGAUAUGCGGAGGAACACCGAUGGCGAAGGCAAUCCCCUGGGCCUGCACUGACGCUCAUGCACGAAAGCGUGGGGAGCAA
rnacentral:rRNA from 1 species